rnacentral:rRNA from 1 species
GAGUUUGAUCAUGGCUCAGGAUGAACGCUAGCGGGAGGCCUAACACAUGCAAGCCGAGCGGGAUUUGUUAGUUAGCUUGCUAACUAACAAUGAGAGCGGCGUACGGGUGCGUAACACGUGUGCAACCUGCCUUUAUCUGGGGGAUAGCCUUUCGAAAGGAAGAUUAAUACCCCAUAAUAUAUUGAUUGGCAUCAAUUGAUAUUGAAAGCUCCGGCGGAUAGAGAUGGGCACGCGUAAGAUUAGCUAGUUGGUGAGGUAACGGCUCACCAAGGCUGCGAUCUUUAGGGGGCCUGAGAGGGUGAUCCCCCACACUGGUACUGAGACACGGACCAGACUCCUACGGGAGGCAGCAGUGAGGAAUAUUGGACAAUGGGUGAGAGCCUGAUCCAGCCAUCCCGCGUGAAGGACUAAGGACCUAUGGUUUGUAAACUUCUUUUAUACAGGGAUAAACCUACUCUCGUGAGGGUAGCUGAAGGU